GGGGUUGUAGCUCAGCUGGUUAGAGCGCCUGCCUGUCACGCAGGAGGCCGCGGGUUCGAGUCCCGUCAAUCCCGCCA
rnacentral:tRNA from 1 species